rfam:Mesorhizobium sp. LNHC252B00 scaffold0047, whole genome shotgun sequence.
CGCCUUUCUGCGUCCUUUCUCCGAGCAGCAGCCUCAUCAGCAGGAUAGGUGAACUGCACGCUGUAGUAUAGGUCAGGUUGCUGCU